rnacentral:rRNA from 1 species
CCUACGGGGUGCAGCAGUGGGGAAUAUUGGACAAUGGGCGAAAGCCUGAUCCAGCAAUGCCGCGUGUGUGAAGAAGGUCUUCGGAUUGUAAAGCACUUUCGACGGGGACGAUGAUGACGGUACCCGUAGAAGAAGCCCCGGCUAACUUCGUGCCAGCAGCCGCGGUAAUACGAAGGGGGCUAGCGUUGCUCGGAAUGACUGGGCGUAAAGGGUGCGUAGGCGGUUUAUGCAGUCAGAUGUGAAAUCCCGGGCUUAACCUGGGAACUGCAUUUGAGACGCAUAGACUAGAGGUCGAGAGAGGGUUGUGGAAUUCCCAGUGUAGAGGUGAAAUUCGUAGAUAUUGGGAAGAACACCGGCGGCGAAGGCGGCAACCUGGCUCGAUACUGACGCUGAGGCGCGAUAGCGUGGCGCAAACAGGAUUAGAUACCCCCGUAGUC